CUAGUGUAAAUAAUCUAGUGAGAAACAAAUUUCGGAGAAGAAAUUGUGUUUUAAAACCUUCAUUGAUAUGUAUGCAGUAAUACCUCUUCAUUAUUUAACUGUCCUGCAUGAUAUCCCGGUUCCCAAAUCGGAGGAAAAAAAUGGAAUUGAUGGAUGGACCACUCACUGGAUAAAGGAAUUGGCUGGAUGGUCGCACUCGGAGAGCUGUGGUCAACGUUUCAAUGUGGAGACCAGUGAUAAGUGACAUUUCUCAGGGAUCAGUGUGCUGGGACUGGUGCUAUUUAACAUCUCAGUAGGCAGCAUGAACAGUGGGAUCGAGUGCACCCUCAGCAAGUUUGCAGAUGACUCCAAGCUGAGUGGUGCAGUCAACACACUAGAGGGAAGGGAUACUAUCCAAAGGUACCUGAACAGACUUGAGAGGUGGGCCUAUGCCAACCUCAUGAAGUUCAACAAGGCCAAGUGCAAGGUCUUGCACCUGGGUCAGGGCAAUCCCAAGCACAAAUAGAGGUUGAGCAGACAAUGUCUUGAGAGCAGCCCCGAGAAGAUGGAUUUGGGAGUGUCGGUCGAUGAAAGAUUCAACAUGAGCUGGCUAUGUGCACUUGCAGCUCAGAAGGCCAACUGUAUCCUGGGUUACAUCAAGAAAAACAUGACCAGCAGGUCAAGGGAGGUGAUUUUGUCCCUCUACUCUGCUCCCAGGAGAUCCCAUCUGGAGUACUGCAUCCAGUUCUUGGGCCCUCAACACAAGGACAUGGAGCUGUUGGAGCGGGUCCAGAGGAGGGCCACAAAGAUUAUCAGAGGGCUGGAGCACCUCCCCUAUGAGGACAGGCCGAGAGAGUUGAGCCUGGAGAAAAGAAGGCUCUGGGGAGACCUUACAGCAGCCCUUCCAGUAUCUGAAGGGGACGUACAGGAAAGCUGGAGAGGGACUUUUUACAAGGACAGCCCAUAGAAAACAGAAUUAUGAUGAUCUGCCGUGUCUCCUGCACCAUGAGAAUUCAGUCAGCGCCUAUCUGUGAUCACGUUUGCACUUGGAAUUGUCUUCCUUUGGUCUACAAAUCUAUGUUAGAUGUGAAAAUUGUUGACUGGACUACUUCUACUGGCAGAGCUGACUAUUAACCUACCACUGUUUUCUUCGUGUUUUGGUGCCAUCUGAAGACCUUCACAUGCAUAGUAUUCUAGUGCAUCUCUGGAUCAUUUCAUAGAAAGCAGAUCCAGUACUGCAAAGCAAAGGAGGCCACAAGGAGAGAAAAUAGGAAAUGUACUCCUUUGAGGAUUGAAAGAAGAUAAACAAUCGUGUCAGAGCUUUGAAUUCUGUCCUGAGCAGAUGAGUAAAAGCAGUUUGGACCUCUUAUGAGUCAGGAGGAGGAAACUAAUGUAAACAAGAGCAGCAUUCUCAAGAAGCCCCUGCUAUGUUAUCAAGAAGUUCAUCAGAGACUGUAGGUUCGAAUAUUAAGUGAAGAAAAUUGAAAUUACCUCUGUCCUCGAAGAGCUGAUUUGCCAUAUCUCCCUUUUAUCUUAAUCAAACUUGUUAAUUUGUCUAUUGGAAAACUUUCCCUUUUUCAGCCUAAUUUGAAUUUCACAUCAUUUUCUUCUGAUGUUCUGCCCUGCCCCCCACCGUGCUGUCUUACAUUACUUAUUGUUCAUUCUUGGGAUAGAAAGACCGCAGGCAACAUUUUAGGUCUAAAUCAGAAUUCGCAGAAUGUGAGACUACUGAGGAAGCCUGUUUAAAUCUGUGUGGCUCCACCUGCCUAGACAGAAGAGGAAUGUCUCAGUGACAAGAGCACAGAACAAACACUUGGAACACCUGGGUUUGAGAUACUUCUUGCAACACUGAUGAUUUGUGCAAUUUUGGGCAAAUGCCUUGCAGCCACAUCAGAAAAGCACACAGUCAUCUGAAGCAUUUUUCAGUUAUCAACACAGGGACAGUGUGAUUACAUAGGUUUGCAGUGGCAAAGUCCUUUUAUGUUAUUCCACAAAUGAAAGCACCAUCACCUUACCUUCUUUAGGCCGUAUUUAGUGACAAGGAAAAGAAAAUAGCUGGUGCACAGACAGCAUUCAUGCUCGGGUGCACAGAGGAUGGGCUGGUCCCAGUGGCUUGGCUGGUUGGGCAUCUUCCUCUGCCUGCUCCACCUGUACAGCCUCUGUGGGCCCUGCAGAGCCGCUUCUGAAUUUUUCUCCCUAGCUGUCCAUAAGGCAGCUCAGCGCUGUUUCACUCAAGUGCCUUUGUUGCUCAUGUUCUGAACCCUUGUACCUCAGGUCCCCAUCUGUGCAGUGAGGUUAACAGGAGCACUGUAGCAGCGCCAGAUGUGAAUAACUGAGACUGUGAAGUGCUCAGGCAGAACAGAGCUGACUGUUCUCUUGUAUCAUCACAGUGUAUGAGGGUCUUAUCGAAUGUACUUGAAAAUAAA
ensembl:lncRNA